rnacentral:lncRNA from 1 species
GUUGCGGGGACGGCGCUUUGGCCGGAGCCUCGCGCAACAGCAUAGCCCACAUUAAACUAGCAGAGAAAGAGGACCACGUUCCUCCCAAGGUAUUGUCCGCUUUGGGCGCUCCGGCCCGCGCGUCCAGCGCUGACGGAGGGAGACUGGUGCCCUCACGGGUUUGCCCUUCAAAAGGCGCCUCGAGAGGAAAGGAUUUCCACC